rnacentral:rRNA from 1 species
UACGUAGGGGGCAAGCGUUGUCCGGAAUCAUUGGGCGUAAAGCGCGCGUAGGCGGCCCGGUAAGUCCGCUGUGAAAGUCAAAGGCUCAACCUUUGAAUGUCAGCGGAUACUGCCGGGCUAGAGUCCGGAAGAGGCGAGUGGAACUCCUGGUGUAGCGGUGGAAUGCGCAGAUAUCAGGAAGAACACCAACGGCGAAGGCAGUUCGCUGGGACGGAACUGACGCUGAGGCGCGAAAGCGUGGGGAGCGAACAGG